rnacentral:rRNA from 1 species
UACAGAGGGUGCGAGCGUUAAUCGGAAUUACUGGGCGUAAAGCGCGCGUAGGCGGCUCGGAAAGUCGGGCGUGAAAUGCCGGGGCUCAACCCCGGGACUGCGUCCGAUACUUCCGAGCUGGAGGUAGGUAGGGGAGAUCGGAAUUCCUGGUGUAGCGGUGAAAUGCGCAGAUAUCAGGAGGAACACCGGUGGCGAAGGCGGAUCUCUGGGCCUUACCUGACGCUGAGGCGCGAAAGCUAGGGGAGCGAACAGG